UUAAUGGGACUUCUCUGCUUACUAUUAUGU
rnacentral:piRNA from 1 species